rnacentral:rRNA from 1 species
CAUGACAACCAACCCACCCCCUUUGUCCGCCAGAAGAUUACGGGCGAAAGCCUAAAACUCAAAAGACUUGACGGUGUUCCACCCUGCCUAGAGGAGCCUGUUCCAUAAUCGAUAACCCACGCUUAACCCAACCACCCAUUGAAAAAUCAGCCUAUAUACCGCCGUCACCAGCUUAUCUUCUGAAAGACAUAACAUAAGCUAAAUAGUAAAAUACUAAAAAGUCAGGUCAAGGUGUAGCCUAUGGGGUGGAGGUAAUGGGCUACAUUAUCUAUAAAAGAUCCCACGAAUUUUAUCUUGAUAAAGACAGAUAAAGAAGGAUUUAGCAGUAAGCUAGACAAGAAAACCUAACUAAACCCAGCCAUGGAACAUGUACACACCGCCCGUCCCCCUCCUCAAA